UGCAGUCGAGCGGAUGAAGGGAGCUUGCUCCCUGAUUCAGCGGCGGACGGGUGAGUAAUGCCUAGGAAUCUGCCUGGUAGUGGGGGACAACGUUUCGAAAGGAACGCUAAUACCGCAUACGUCCUACGGGAGAAAGCAGGGGACCUUCGGGCCUUGCGCUAUCAGAUGAGCCUAGGUCGGAUUAGCUAGUUGGUGAGGUAAUGGCUCACCAAGGCGACGAUCCGUAACUGGUCUGAGAGGAUGAUCAGUCACACUGGAACUGAGACACGGUCCAGACUCCUACGGGAGGCAGCAGUGGGGAAUAUUGGACAAUGGGCGAAAGCCUGAUCCAGCCAUGCCGCGUGUGUGAAGAAGGUCUUCGGAUUGUAAAGCACUUUAAGUUGGGAGGAAGGGUUGUAGAUUAAUACUCUGCAAUUUUGACGUUACCGACAGAAUAAGCACCGGCUAACUCUGUGCCAGCAGCCGCGGUAAUACAGAGGGUGCAAGCGUUAAUCGGAAUUACUGGGCGUAAAGCGCGCGUAGGUGGUUUGUUAAGUCGGAUGUGAAAUCCCCGGGCUCAACCUGGGAACUGCAUCCGAAACUGGCAAGCUAGAGUAUGGUAGAGGGUAGUGGAAUUUCCUGUGUAGCGGUGAAAUGCGUAGAUAUAGGAAGGAACACCAGUGGCGAAGGCGACUACCUGGACUGAUACUGACACUGAGGUGCGAAAGCGUGGGGAGCAAACAGGAUUAGAUACCCUGGUAGUCCACGCCGUAAACGAUGUCAACUAGCCGUUGGGGACC
rnacentral:rRNA from 1 species